UGGUUGACGGUUUAUCAACUCCGUUAGUGAAAAAUUAUUCUGUCGUGACGUGGCUUAUUAAAUAAAUUUCCAAAGACCAAAUUCUCUUAUAGGUCAGUGAACUUACUAUGAUACCCUUAAACCUCAAGCCUAAAUUUCAUACACCUUCUUCUCCCAUCGACCAAAAUAUCCUGACGACCUACAAAAAUAGAUGUCAUGAACUUGACACCGGAAAAGAGAUGGGUUUCAGACGCACAGUUUCCCAAAUGGGCUUCAGAGCCUUGCAUUAUGGUAUGGGCAUCGGUGAGUCGGUCAGUAAAGCUGAUAUAUACUUAUUUGUGCAGCUGAACAGAGAGGGAGAAGGAGAAGAAGGGCUACGCAGGGGCUCAACUCAAAACCUGAUACGGAGAAGAAGAAGGGGGCUCAACUUGGAAUUGACAAUGAAUCUGUUGACAAGGUUUAGGAUGAUUUUUUGAAGCGGUUGGAACAAUUGGAACCGAAGAGGAGUUGAACGGAGACCAUCCCUUCGAUGCACUGUGUUCCCGAAUCUCCUCGUUGAUCAACAAAAACAGAGAAGUGUAAGUGAGCAGGAGAAGAGGAAUGGAGGUUAUUCCGUCACUUGCCGACCAUCGCCUGAGCUCGACCGGGAACAGAGAC